rnacentral:rRNA from 1 species
CGGCACCUAUCUUCGGAUAGAAGCGAGUGGCGAACGGCUGAGUAACACGUGGAGAACCUCGCCCCCCUCCCCCGGGAUAGCCGCCCGAAAGGACGGGUAAUACCGGAUACCCCGGGGUGCCGCAUGGCACCCCGCUAAAGCCCGACGGGAGGGGAUGGCUCCGCGGCCCAUCAGGUAGACGGCGGGGUGACGGCCCACCGUGCCGACAACGGGUAGCCGGGUUGAGAGACCGACCGGCCAGAUUGGGACUGAGACACGGCCCAG